CACGUGAGGGGACGAGCGUUGUCCGGAUUCAUUGGGCGUAAAGCGCGCGUAGGCGGCUCGGAAAGUCGGUCGUGGAAAUGCCGGGGCUCAACCCCGGGACUGCGUCCGAUACUCUCGAGCUGGAGGCAGGUAGGGGAGAUCGGAAUUCCUGGUGUAGCGGUGAAAUGCGCAGAUAUCAGGAGGAACACCGAUGGCGAAGGCAGGUCUCUGGGCCGAUACUGACGCUGAGGAGCGAAAGCGUGGGGAGCAAACAGG
rnacentral:rRNA from 1 species